GUUUGACAUAUGCUGGGAAUGAGCAUUGACAGUGGAGCUAGUGUACGGGAGCUCACCAAACUGUUUGUCUGUUGGUGUGCUUUCACAGGAGUGAUACGAAAUAAAGAUACAUCUCAGCAACUGUCCACGAGUCACACAUAUUAAAAAAACACAACGCAGAAGUCACACCGGUUAC